GUCAUUUAGAGGAAGUAAAAGUCGUAACAAGGUUUCCGUAGGUGAACCUGCGGAAGGGUCAUUUAGAGGAAGUAAAAGUCGUAACAAGGUUUCCGUAGGUGAACCUGCGGAAGGAUCAUUA
rnacentral:rRNA from 1 species